rnacentral:ncRNA from 3 species
UUGCCUAUUUAUCAUUUAAUUAUGAUGAAUGUCAAAAAAAUCUAGCUAUAUGCUGGAAAAUCCGAGAAUCUGAAGGUACUCGCUACAUUUUUUGUAGCAGUAAAAAUCCGAUCAGUGCGGACAAUCAGCAGGAAAGAUUAAAAAUUGAAUCUCAGUUUUUAAAAUCCUCAGAGACUAAACGCUAGACUAAGUAAAUACUUAGAAAGUAUAGUCCGAACUACAUAGCGAUAUGUAG